rnacentral:rRNA from 1 species
GACGAACGCUGGCGGCGUGCCUAAUACAUGCAAGUAGAACGCUGAAGAGAGGAGCUUGCUCUUCUUGGAUGAGUUGCGAACGGGUGAGUAACGCGUAGGUAACCUGCCUUGUAGCGGGGGAUAACUAUUGGAAACGAUAGCUAAUACCGCAUAACAAUGGAUGACACAUGUCAUUUAUUUGAAAGGGGCAAUUGCUCCACUACAAGAUGGACCUGCGUUGUAUUAGCUAGUAGGUGAGGUAAUGGCUCACCUAGGCGACGAUACAUAGCCGACCUGAGAGGGUGAUCGGCCACACUGGGACUGAGACACGGCCCAGACUCCUACGGGAGGCAGCAGUAGGGAAUCUUCGGCAAUGGGGGCAACCCUGACCGAGCAACGCCGCGUGAGUGAAGAAGGUUUUCGGAUCGUAAAGCUCUGUUGUAAGUCAAGAACGGGUGUGAGAGUGGAAAGUUCACACUGUGACAGUAGCUUACCAGAAAGGGACGGCUAACUACGUG